rnacentral:tRNA from 1 species
CGCGGGAUGGAGCAGCUGGUAGCUCGUNNAAGGUCGUAGGUUCAAGUCCUGCUCCCGCAACCA